AACUUAGGGACCAGGACAAUUGAGGAUAGAAACUAAGAGAACAGCUUUAAAAAAAGUGUUUAGCUUAAUAAGCUAAAGCAUUUUGUUGAAGCCCCCUGGUGUUUUCACAGGGUCUGUAAAACAGCCAACAGAAGUGAAGAGCCAAUAGAUAACAUGGCAUCAUUUGAGUAAUGUACCUAAAUUAGACCCUUGCUUUGGAAGAUAUGGCUCUUUCAUUCUCCCUCGAGUCUGUCUGUUUGGUCUCCUGACAUUUUUUCUCUUGUAUCGUGCCUGUGCUUGGCUUCUGGCUUGUCUCGGGGGAUCGCAGAGGCUCUCCGGUUCAAUGAAACAUCCUGGUGGAGGGAGUCGAAUGUUUAGUGCUUGUGCUGGAUCCCGGCUGUCAAGUCCACUGAGGGCAGCUAUCUCUCAGGCAGACCUCGGCCAGCAUGCUCCUCUACAUAAUUCAUCAGGACAGGCAGGCCCACAUCUGCCAGUUCCACAGAGCCACUUGUUCUUCUUCAGUCUGCCCCUCAAGUACAUGAUGUGGUAACUAGGGUUUACACAAGCUCCAGUCUGGAUCCAGAACACCUGAGAAGAGAUGAUGCUGCCCCUCAGAAACCUCAGAUGAUGCUAACCCUGAAUCAACAAACAGAACUAACAAAUAUUGCUACAAGUGUGACUGCAUCAUAUAAUAAUUAUUAAUAAUAUUAAUAAUGUUCAUCGUCUGGCUGACUACGUCUUGUAUUAAUUUUUCUACAAAUCCUGUCCUACGUGCACAAACUGAAAUUUUCUGUAAAGUUGCUCUGUAACGAUUUGUAUUGUAAAAAGCGCCAUACAAAUAAACUUGAAUUGAAUUGAAGCCCCGACGAGGCAUGAUCAAGCCCCAGAAGUGACAGUGGAAAUGCGACUGGCCCUGGCACACACUAGCUGUCUGGUUUGAGCUCGACAGUGGAAACACGGCUAGUGACCCUCGGUGUCAGGCACCAAUGGCCUGGCUGACCAGCAAACUACAACAUUCUCACAAUACACACACAUAAAGACUUUGUAUUUAUUUAUUUAUUAAGUUUGUAUGUUUCCCUAUUAUAUUAGCCUAAUAACAGCCUAAUUAUUCUUUAUUUGUAUUAGUAAGUCUCUCAAU
rnacentral:lncRNA from 1 species